AGUGAACGCUGGCGGUAGGCCUUACACAUGCAAGUCGAACGGUAACGCGGGGCAACCUGGCGACGAGUGGCGAACGGGUGAGUAAUGCAUCGGAACGUGCCCGGUAGUGGGGGAUAACUGCUCGAAAGAGCAGCUAAUACCGCAUACGACCUGAGGGUGAAAGGGGGGGAUCGCAAGACCUCUCGCUAUCGGAGCGGCCGAUGGCGGAUUAGCUAGUUGGUGGGGUAAAGGCACACCAAGGCAACGAUCCGUAGCUGGUCUGAGAGGACGAACAGCCACACUGGGACUGAGACACGGCCCAGACUCCUACGGGAGGAAGCAGUGGGGAAUUUUGGACAAUGGACGCAAGUCUGAUCCAGCCAUGCCGCGUGCGGGAAGAAGGCCUUCGGGUUGUAAACCGCUUUUGUCAGGGAAGAAAUCUUCUGGGUUAAUACCUCGGGAGGAUGACGGUACCUGAAGAAUAAGCACCGGCUAACUACGUGCCAGCCGCCGCCGUAA
rnacentral:rRNA from 1 species